rnacentral:misc_RNA from 1 species
UUUCCGUAGGUGAACCUGCGGAAGGAUCAUUACAGAGUUGUCGACACGAGUUGUUGCUGGUCCUCAAACGGGGGCAUGUGCACACUCUGUUCACACAUCCACUCACACCUGUGCACCCUCUGUAGUUCUAUGGUCUGGGGGACGCGCCGUCUUCCUUCCAUGGUUCUAUGUCUUUACACACACGCCGUAGCGAAGUCUUAUGGAAUGUACUCUGCGUUUAACGCGAUAUAAUACAACUUUCAGCAACGGAUCUCUUGGCUCUCGCAUCGAUGAAGAAGCAGC